rnacentral:lncRNA from 1 species
CCAUGGGACAUGUAGGAGACUCUGUGACGCUGCCUUGCCGAGUGCAGGGCCACAACGUCACUCAGGAAUGGUACCUCAAUGACAAGGGGAUCUCUAAUGACGCCAGUUAUCAAAUCUCAGGUAACGGCGACCUGGUGGUGCGGCGGCUGAGUGCACAGGGACGCACUCGAUAUUCAUGCAGAGCAGCCAGCACUCGUUUCUCUGCCCUCAGUGACACUGUCUUCACUGUAGUGGUGACUAUGUGAUGAUCUUCGACUUACCUGACUACCAAGGACCACUUCGAGGCCGACCCAUCUGGAUUACGUCCAUUCUUUAUCAUCAAUGAUAUGCUGAUAUCUUUAUCAAACGAAGUCUUACAGCUAUGUGUAC